AGAAUAACAUAAAUUAUCAUAAUAUUCAAUUUUUUUAAACAUAACUCCUUAUGACCUAAACCCUGUUAAUAACAAUGCAUGAACCCUUAGUCAGCCUGUUCAAAACUCUAGUCUUCACAUGAGGGGAAAAAAAUUCAAAACCAUAACAAUUACUCCUUUCAAUGCUUUUUUUUUUUUUUUUUUUAUCAAAGCAUGCCCUGGACAAUUAUUCUCGUCAGUACACCACUGAUAUCAAACCAUGCCUUCUGCAAUUAUCCUGAUCUCUGGAAAAUGAACCUACUUUUACCAUUAUUUCCCAUUCAAUCACUUCCAAAAAUGGCUCUCCUAUUUGACAAAGUCAACAUCUCUCCUCCAGCCUAAACACAGAAACAUAAAUAGAAACAGAGAUCUUGAGGGGCCAAGCCCAAACAAAUCUUUAGCCACCAGGUAAUUUAUUGCUCCAUAAAUGAAAUAAAGACAGCUGCAAGACCUUUUGUGUGGUGUGCACCCUAUGUUGUAUAAGCUGUUUUCCCAAUCAUUCUUAUUAAGACAUGGAGACACAGAUGGUAUUUAUCUAUAAUCUGCACCAACUGCUUCAAGGAUAGACUUGAAACCAUCCCUCCGUAAACAUUCAGCCAGUUCAGCCUUUAACUGAGGAAUUAGUGCAGGUCCACCAUAGGCAAAUGCUGUAUAAAGCUGAACAAGAGUAGCUCCACCUCGUAUUUUCUUGUAUGCAUCCUCACCACUGCUAAUACCCCCACAACCUAUUAAAGGAAUCUUUCCCCUUGUCAAAAUAUACAUCUCUUUUAAGACAUCCACAUCGGUAGAUAGAUCGAAUAGAGGCUUGCCACUUAAACCACCUGCUUCCUCAGCCACUGGGUAGUUCCUUACGGAGUCUGGCCUUGAUAUGGUUGUAUUUGAUAUAAUCAGUCCAUCCAAACGGAGUGCAAGAGCAACUGCUGCAAUGUCUUCAAGGUCUUCCUUGGACAAGUCAGGUGCAAUCUUCACAAGCAAAGGAGGUGGGCCUUCCGCGCCCCAUUGCAUUUCAUCACGAGCAGCUUGAACCUUCUUCACAAGGUCCUUUAAUUGUUUUCUUCCCUGNNNAAGCAUACGCAAUCCAGGAGUAUUGGGCGAUGAAACAUUAAUAACCAAGUAAUCAGCAUACUGGGACAACGUAUGAACCCCUUGUACAUAAUCUGCGGCAGCAUCUUCACUGGUCUUGUUCUUUCCAAGAUUAACCCCAAGAAUGCCAGGUCCAGCUUUGCCUCCAUGUUUCAUGCCAUCACUUGGGGAAGAUGAAGUGCUUGAAGUUUCAUCCAACAUUCUCUUUCCAUGCUGUGCACCCAAUCUCUUUGCAACAACAACAAUGCCUUCACUAUUAAAUCCACAGCGAUUGAUAAUCGCACCUUCCUUACGCAAUCUGAAAAUCCGUGGUUUUGGAUUACCCUCUUGUGGAACAGGGGUAACAGAGCCAACCUCUACAAAGCCAAAACCUAAUCCAAGCAAGCCUUCAAUAGCCUCAGCAUUUUUAUC
rnacentral:misc_RNA from 1 species